AUUGAACGCUGGCGGCAUGCUUUACACAUGCAAGUCGAACGGUAACAGGCCGCAAGGUGCUGACGAGUGGCGAACGGGUGAGUAAUGCAUCGGAACGUGCCCAGUCGUGGGGGAUAACUACUCGAAAGAGUAGCUAAUACCGCAUACGAUCUAUGGAUGAAAGCGGGGGACCGUAAGGCCUCGCGCGAUUGGAGCGGCCGAUGUCAGAUUAGGCAGUUGGUGGGGUAAAGGCUCACCAAGCCAACGAUCUGUAGCUGGUCUGAGAGGACAACCAGCCACACUGGGACUGAGACACGGCCCAGACUCCUACGGGAGGCAGCAGUGGGGAAUUUUGGACAAUGGGCGCAAGCCUGAUCCAGCAAUGCCGCGUGCAGGAAGAAGGCCUUCGGGUUGUAAACUGCUUUUGUACGGAACGAAACGGCUCUGGUUAAUACCCGGGGCUAAUGACGGUACCGUAAGAAUAAGCACCGGCUAACUACGUG
rnacentral:rRNA from 1 species